rnacentral:piRNA from 1 species
GCUAAUGUUGUGACAUCAUUGUACUUGCAG